rnacentral:rRNA from 1 species
AUUGAACGCUGGCGGCAGGCCUAACACAUGCAAGUCGAGCGGAACGGCGGACGGGUGAGUAAUGCCUAGGACUCUGCCUGGUAGUGGGAGAUGGAGAACGGAAACGGGCGCUAGUACCGACUACUAUCAGAUGGGCGUAGGUGGGAUUAGCUAGUUGGUGGGGUAAAGGCCUACCAAGGCGACGAUCCGUAACUGGUCUGAGAGGAUGAUCAGUCACACUGGAACUGAGACACGGUCCAGACUCCUACGGGAGGCAGCAGUGGGGAAUAUUGGACAAUGGGCGAAAGCCUGAUCCAGCCAUGCCGCGUGUAUGAAGAAGGUCUUCGGAUUGUAAAGCACUUUAAGUUGGGAGGCGUUACCAGCAGAAUAAGCACCGGCUAACUCCGUGCCAGCAGCCGCGGUAAUAC